ensembl:misc_RNA 7SK 7SK RNA
GGGUGUGAGGGCGAUCUAGCUGCGACAUCUGUCACCCCAUUGAUCGCCAGGGUUAGUUCAGCUGAUCUGGCUGGCUAGGCGGGGGUCCCCUUCCUCCCUCAAGGAUCCAUGUGCGUCCCUCCAAAAGCUGCGCGCUUGGUCAAAGAGGACGACCAUGACCACCCAGAUAGAGGAGGACCGUUCCUCGGUCAAGGGUAUACGAGCAGCUGUGCUCCCCUGCUAGAACCUCGAAACAAGCAGUCCGGGCCCCUUUGUAGGAGAACAUAGGGUAGUCAAGCUUCCAAGACUCCAGAUGCAUCCAAAUGAGGCACUGCAUGGGCAGUCUGCCUUUCUUA